rnacentral:misc_RNA from 1 species
GCAAAGGUUUAGAUUUUUUUAAUGUUAACUCAAAAGAGAACUCUGUUUGCAAUGAAUAGUUUAUUUAUUUAUUUAUUAUUUAAUUAUUACUAAAUGGGCCCUUUCAUUUUAAGUACAUAAAGAAAUCAUGGGCCUAGCUCAUAGGGAAAAUGAUGGGGUGGCCAUAAUCAAAUGGUUCAUUUCAUAAUCCAAAGUUCAGCAAAGGAAAUCUAGUUCUCCCCUUCCUCCAUGUUGACACAAGAAUCCACAAGAAUUCUCUUCAUAUCAUCAAUAAACUUCUGCAUUUGAUCCCUUGAAUGCAAUGGCGAUGGAUAAACACAAGCAGAAUCCAAGCUUCCAUCACGUAUGGUGUCAAAUACGGCGAUGGAAGGGCCAACGCCAUGGACUGAAGCACAACCCACAUAAUCCUCAACUCCAAGCUCUCCAUACGUUUCAUUAGAAUCAUCAAUCACAGGGUCCUCAAACACUGAUAUGCAGGCAGUUCUCAAUGCUGAAGAUGGAGUUAAACCUGGAUUAUCAAUUGCCUUACACAUUAGGAAGUUGAGGUCACUCAUGUCUAUAAAGUGCUUGUUGUUGUUCUUUGCAUUUGAAAAGGCCAAGUAACAUCUCUUUGCUAGCUCCCACAGCUUGUCACCUCCACUUACAUCAUGUGUAUUCAUGAUGCCAGAGUGGUAAAAUCCUUAUGCAACAAAGAGUAUUAGAUAUAGAAUCAGUUGGAAUGGAACGAAAUGGAGUUGAUAACUAUAAUAGAAAAGCAUGGCUUACCAAGAUGGUGGGAAUUGAGAACAGGGUCAAGAAGUGAACGACAAUCGAUGAGGGUUACAACACCAUACUUGUGCCUUUGGUCAACAGUAAGGCCUUUGGAGGAGUGUGCUGCCAUCAAACCAGCAGCUGCUAUGGCUCCACACAGUUGAAUCCCUCUCGAUUUGCAGCCCUGAAGAAGCCUGUGGGUUUCAUCUGGGUUCAUUUUUAAUCUCACCAACUGAGAGCAUCUAGCAGAUUCAGCAUCAACAAAGUUCAAAUUCGCCAGCCUUAAAGAAUUCAAAGAAUACCCAAGAACAUCCAUUCCACGAGCCCAAAAGGGCUUGUUAGCUUUCCCACUAGGAAUACAAUCUUCAAUUCCCAACCCAACCACUCCAUUAUCAUUAUAUAAUUCUAUAUUACUAUGCUCUUUCCUUCCACCCGUCGCCUCUAGCAGUUCUCUUAGCACCGCCACCCCCGAUGCACGGUCGCAUGCUGCCGUGUGCAGCCGGAGCACCACUACCCACUGGCUUUCGCUUAGAGUGUACACGCUAGCGAAGAACAGAUCAAGGUCAGUACUCUCGAGUGCUGAUGACGACCAUGAAUUUGUGUUUAUUUCGUGCUCUAGAAUGAGAUGGAAUGGCGUAACAGAGGGGUUGUUGGAAUUAUUGGAAAGAAUAGCGGAGGUUGAAGCAUGAUCAAAUAGUUGGAUUUUGAGGUGAGAGGAGGGCGGAGUAACGAAGGAGAAAGUGGCGGUGGCGGCGUCGAAGUGGAGCUUGGAGCGGAGAAUGGGGUGGGAAGUCUGGAGUUGGUGGAGGGCAGCUUGGAGAAGGUUUAUGUCAGGGAAUUUUGAAACGAGAAGGGCUAGGACGGUGAUGCCGGUGCCGCCGGGCACUGCUUUGCACCAACUGUACUCUGUGCCACCCACCGGCCUAGCCCUCGGCUCAGGGAUUCGUGGUCCUGGGUGGUCGUGGUCAUUGUCAGACAUGGUGAAGAAGAUAAGGGAUGGAUUGGAGGAGAAGAAAAUAAAUGAAGUAAGACUGAGAGCUUUGUUUAAUUUGGCCUUGUCGCUGUGAGCCCGUGACUCAUAACCAACGGAUAACG